CACUCCUACGGGAGGCAGCAGUGGGGAAUUUUGGACAAUGGGCGAAAGCCUGAUCCAGAAAUGCCGCGUGAGUGAAGAAGGCCUUCGGGUUGUAAAGCUCUUUUGUCAGGGAAGAAACGGUGAAAGCUAAUAUCUUUUGCUAAUGACGGUACCUGAAGAAUAAGCACCGGCUAACUACGUGCCAGCAGCCGCGGUAAUACGUAGGGUGCAAGCGUUAAUCGGAAUUACUGGGCGUAAAGCGUGCGCAGGCGGUUUUGUAAGUCUGAUGUGAAAUCCCCGGGCUCAACCUGGGAAUUGCAUUGGAGACUGCAAGGCUAGAAUCUGGCAGAGGGGGGUAGAAUUCCACGUGUAGCAGUGAAAUGCGUAGAUAUGUGGAGGAACACCGAUGGCGAAGGCAGCCCCCUGGGUCAAGAUUGACGCUCAUGCACGAAAGCGUGGGGAGCAAACAGGAUUAGAAACCCUUGUAGUCCCAUG
rnacentral:rRNA from 1 species